rnacentral:rRNA from 1 species
UACGUAGGUGGCAAGCGUUACUCGGAAUCACUAGGCGUAAAGCGCAGGUAGGCGGUUUGGUAAGUCUGUUGUGAAAGCUCCCGGCUCAACUGGGAGAGGCCAACGGAAACUACCAAGCUAGAGUGUGGUAGAGGAAACUGGAAUUCCUGGUGUAGCGGUGAAAUGCGUAGAUAUCGGGAGGAACACCUAUGGCGAAAGCAGGUUUCUGGGCCAUCACUGACGCUGAGCUGCGAAAGCUAGGGGAGCAAACAGG